GCCAUAUCCGUCAAUCUAUUCCCAUCUUUCUCUUCCCAUUAGCGGCUCAGAUUAAUCCUCCUUUCCCCUCCUUUCUAUAUUAUCCAUUUUAUAUUUAUUUAAACAUUAAAUAAAUGAAUAAAUAAAUAAAAUAAAAACAAAAUCUCUUUUCUUCCUCUGUUCCUCUGCUUCUUACUUUCGCACCUCCGCCUCUUUUUCUUAUCAGUAGACCAAAUUAACAGAGACAGCGAAAGCUUAAUCC
rnacentral:lncRNA from 1 species